ACAGCAGUGCCCCCCACAUCUGUAACACCGUCCUUCCUUCCCCCCCGCCGCCGGGUCGUCUCUCCACAGGUUCCCGCUGGAACAUUUCGGGAAGCUAUAUGGGCUGGUGAUGGGCCUGUCGGCCUUGGUGUCACUCCUCCAGUACCCCUGCUUCGCACUCAUCAAGGGACCGCUCAGCGAUGACCCCUUCUAUGUGAACACUGGCCUCAUCAUCGUCAUCCUCCUGGCCUUCCUCAGUCCGCUGGUGGUGCUGCGGGAGUACCAGCGCCGGGAGAGGGAGCAGGAAAAGCAACAUGUUGACUCACCCCCCCUGACCCUGGCCAAGGCCGGUGUGGAGUCCUCCAUCUGACCCCCCACCCCCAGCCAGGAUCUUCAGGGGCUGUUCCCCCCCCAAAAGGGAAUGAGGAAAGGGAAUUAGGAGUGCAGGCUGAGCCCCAGCCAAUCCCCAGCUGUGUCCCUCCAGCCCAGCAUUGUCACCAUCAGCUCCAGCCAGGCAGGCACUCCUCUUCAGCAGCAGGGUGGUGGGUCACGCUGGGGUAUUUUUACAGAUACUUGAUUUUCUAGGUUUUUGNNNNNNNNNNAUCACACAGGAGAUACAAGUACUCCUGUUCUUCUUUUUGCGGAUACAGACUAACACGGCUGCUACUCUGAAACCUUCUAUGUGAGUGUCCUUGUAGAUAAAUCUCUGAUCAUUUUCAUAUGACUUUACAUUGUGCCUGUUCAUAUAACCUUGUAGUGGGUCUACCCAUGUGUGACCUCUGUCUUCAUGAGACUUUGUAUCAAGGCCUAAUAUAGAAACCUUGUACUGAUGAGCCUUGGUAUAUGGAAACUUUGUAUCAAAGCCUCAUGUAGAAACUUUGCAUUGCCCUUGGUAUAAUGUUAUAGCCCCUAAGGAUAGAAUAAGAUAGAAGAAAAAUGUCUUUUUGCUAGCAGUAGAACAAGAUCUCCCCCCCCCACACACACACUCUUAAUCAAUUGCCCUGUUGAAUGAAUGAGGUGUGAAUGAGGAAGGUAUGGAAGGCAGCACCUCCAAAUAGCUGCAACAGUUGGAGAGAGGCUGGGAGCCAGACCCAAGGAUGCUAAAACGUGUCAAGUGGACUCACUAAAGAAGAUCAGACAUGCUGACGGCCUCGGGGGUUAGAAGCCAGCACCUUCUUUUGGAAACACCCUCUUUGCAGCAUUGGGACAACCCCCAGAAGGAAGCAGCACAAAGGCCCAAUGGACACAGACACAGAUUUUGAAUCUGGUACAGAUUUGCAUGAGAGGGAAGCUGCUAUAAAAGUGAGGUGUCUUGCAGAGGACCCCGGGUCUCGUCUUGUCACAUGGGAGCAUCGAUCCGGAUCAGCAGAAGACCGGCUCCACCCCUCCCCCAUCUAACUCACCUGGCCAGUGCAGUUAAGGGGAGCAACUAAUUGGUAACAACAACAAGACGGAGCAUGCUUGUAUGUGUGUAUGUGAGUGCAUGAGUGUAUAUGUGUAUAUCUCAUAUGCAUAUGAUACAGUAUUAACAAAUACAUGUAUUACUAAUAAAUGUGGCGUUUUGCCUUAUUCCCCCUGAAAA
rnacentral:lncRNA from 1 species